rnacentral:lncRNA from 1 species
GGGUGAGAACCGGCAGAGAUCACAGCAGUGGGUGGAUUGUGUUGUUUGAGCACUCCUAGGUAAUCGAUUCCUCCAUUUUCUUUUGAUGAGUUUCGAUUUGAGUUCUUAGGGACAUUUCUGCAUUCCGAGAUCUGAACUGUGAAAUCUAGCCCUUUUUUUAAAGGCUUUGCUCGAUAAAUCUCUUAUUUGGUCAAAUCACACUUUAUUUUUGUUUGAAUGCAGCUACGAAUUGAGCUCUGACAAACAUUUCAGCAAUUCCCAUACGUGGGUUUCCAUAUUUCUCUUCACUAUUUCCUGGUUUCCUUUGAGGCUCUGCUCCAUCAAUCUCUUUCACCGUCUUUGUAGGUGAUGACGGCAGCGGAGCCUAAAAGAUUCGAUAUGUGGGGCGUCUUCCUUUCUGUUUGAAUUUAGCUACAAAAUGAACUCUGACUGACAUUUCAGCAAUUCCCGAAUCUGGGAUUCCGUAUUUCUCUUUGUUUGCUGCUUUUCUUCGAGGCUCUGCUCCAUCGAUCUCUCCAUUUCCUUUAUAGGUGAUUACAAAGGCGGAGCCUAAAAGAUUCGAUAUGUGGGGACAUUCAGAAGAUCCCAAUUGCGGGGCUUCUUCCUCAUCGACUUCUACACCUGUAGGUGAUUAUGAAGGCAGAACCAAAAAGAUGAAAAGAAAUGACUACGAAGUGUUCUUGAGCUUUAGAGGGAAGGAUACUCG